GAAUCCGAAUGUACAAAAAAAAUCCGAAUCCGAAUCCGAAUGUUUCCGAAUGUAAGCAAAGUGUCAGGUAAACGGCGGGAGUAACUAUGACUCUUUUAAUUUACGAAAAUGUCUCGUCAUCUAAUUAGUGCGCACAUAAAUUGACUGACAAGAUUC
rnacentral:ncRNA from 1 species